CUAAUUAACUAAUAAAAUAAUAUUGUAGUAGUGGUAAGAAAAGAAUCCAGAGGGAAUUAAAAACCAUUUUUUUUUUACCAACAAGUAAAAAACAAACAAAGGGAAAGGGUUUUGUAGAAUCCACUAUGCAAAAUAUAAAAUAUACAAUAAGCGUAAUAAUAUUAAACAAACUUUAAGAUGCAAAUUAGAAACUAAAACAAUUGUAAGAAGAAUUUCUAGUUGACGAAAUAGUUAACUCUGGUAACAUAAUUGAUCAUAGAUGCAAGAGUUUGUUUUACCCAAAAUAUGGCAAAUCAGUUAUAGUUGUCGAAAAUGUUCUAAGAACCAAUCCUUCCUUAUUCCUAAACCAACUACAAAACAUUUGUUAGUUGGUUCUUCGCUAUCAAACAAUCCUGGAAACAUCCACAGGAUUUAACUUGCCAACAGCCUUGAGAGCAAGAAGGUCUUGGUUUAAGUUGUCGAAUUCAUCCGCGUUAACCAGUCAAUUAGACUACUUACCUCCUUAAUGGUGCAUUGAUUGCUACUUGGUGUCUGAACCACUCAAACAAUUAUAGAUUUGAGGCCUUUGGCUAGCUGCUUACGGUUUCUCUUCAUGUAUGACAAGCCCUAUCCAAAUAGAU
rnacentral:lncRNA from 1 species